rnacentral:rRNA from 1 species
AUUGAACGCUGGCGGCAGGCCUAACACAUGCAAGUCGAGCGGAUGAAGGGUGCUUGCUCCUGGAUUCAGCGGCGGACGGGUGAGUAAUGCCUAGGAAUCUGCCUGGUAGUGGGGGAUAACGUCCGGAAACGGGCGCUAAUACCGCAUACGUCCUGAGGGAGAAAGUGGGUGAUCUUCGGACCUCACGCUAUCAGAUGAGCCUAGGUCGGAUUAGCUAGUUGGUGGGGUAAAGGCCUACCAAGGCGACGAUCCGUAACUGGUCUGAGAGGAGGAUCAGUCACAGUGGAAGGGGGACAGGGUCAAGACGACUAAGGGAGGGAGCAGAGGGGAAUGGGAGGCAGUAGGGGAAAGCAUGACACAGUGAGGGGGAGUGUGAGAAAAAGGUGUUGGGAGCGGAAUGAAGGCUUAGGGGGGAUGAACGGAAGUAGGUUGAUACGAAGCGGGAGUGACGGUACCAAGUAAAGAAGCACCGGCUAACUACGUG